UCCUUUCGGNAGCUGUUUCUAAGAGCAGC
rnacentral:piRNA from 1 species